GAUGUCUCUCUGUUUCCUUUCAGCCCCGUAACACUAAACCGCUCCGGGUGCAGAUAACGCCUUAGGAACCUUCCUCCUGGCGGAACGAGCCUGCUGUCGGUCAUGGGCAGCUCCGAUGAGACAGCACAUGCCUGUAUAUGUAUCCAUAUGCACCUAAUAGGGAUGUGGUAUCAGCUGGCCGCGGUGAACAAAUUCACGUUGCUGUAAAGGAACUACUGGGAAAGGACACAGAAUCAAAUGCCUCAUCUCUGCUCCAGUCUCUCUCACCAAGGCUUUUCUUCCUGCAGGGAGUGGAGGAGGUGCUUGAAACCUGUUUGAAAUUAUUUCAGUGCAAAACAUGGGGAGAGGAUACCAUGUUGGAGUUGGACUGUGGCCACCAUGUUGUCCCCAGUGGUCCCUCCAUGUGAGGCUCCUACUGCAGCUGUGACCAUAGGUCAGCUGCUCAGGUGGAGGGCAUUGUUUCUAUCUGGGCUAUUCAAGGACCAGAGCAGGUUAAAUUGCCUCUGUCCAGUAUCAGCCAGGACAUACUUGAGAGCCUCAGGCUGAGUUUUUGCCGUCCCUUCUAGUUGAGUUCUUCAGGAGCACAGCACAGGGUUUUAGAUCCCACUGCAAGCCCAGAGCCCAUGGAAGAGCCCAGAGCAAGGUGAAUCUGCUCUGGUUUAUUUGGCUGCUAGAAGGCUUUUCCCCUGUAAGGGAGUAUUGGACUGGCAAUCAGAGAGCCACCACUGAGCCAAACUCCAGUCCUGUAGUUAGUGACAAUUAGCAGAUUUGAGCACAUCCUUCAUUUGGCCAAAAAACCUGGGAGAUGACACAAGUCUGUAUUUUAUUGUAUCCAUUAAUUUAGUGAGUGUGUGUGUGUUGUAUUUGAGGGAAUGUUUAGUGUUCAGGUUUGUAGAGCUGAAUCCGAUUCUGUUUUACAGGAGACAGCCCAGUUGUCCAUAGCAACCUGAAAUUGAUUUUCCCCCCACUGCCUGCUGAAAGCUGUUCCCUCUUGAAUCAUCCCUUUAAUUUAAUAUAGUGAACAGGAUGUCCCUGCAUGCAGAACCUUUUUUUUUUUAACAAGUAACCUAGG
rnacentral:lncRNA from 1 species